rnacentral:tRNA from 1 species
GCCUGGGUGGCUGAGUCGGUUAAGCAUCUGACUUCAGCUCAGGUCAUGAUCUCACGGUUUAUGGGUUUGAGCCCUGAGUCAGGCU